UUAGAGUUCCUCUAAGGCCUUGAAUAAUGACACUGUUUUAUGAAUUAUAAGCAUCACAGCAUGAGGCAGCAUCUGGUGGGGAGGUGCCUACAGGAAGGAAGAGACCUCAGCAUGUUUGCUAUUUGUACUUUUUGAUGUUUCAACAAGAAGGCAGAGCAUUUUCUCAAGCCAGUUUUAGUAGUGACAGAACCAAAAAGACAAUCGGUAAAUUGAAUGUAGAAUCCAGACCCAACCAAGAACAAAGAGGCACCAAAACUAGCCUGGGUGAGAGGAAAAGAAAGUCUACAUCACAGAGAAGUGCAAAUUCCUACUAAAAUUCCAAGAAGUCUACCAGAAGACAGACAAGAGACAAGAACGGGAGGGAGUAUAUAAGGCUCUUCUGACAGAGACUAUACAAGAUGUGUGGCUGAGUCAGAUGAGGAAGAAAAGAAACCAGCAGAAGAGGGAGGGGAACCAUGGAAGAGCACCAGGACAGGCUUGGACACAACCAGCCAGGAGUUUCCACACAUCUCAGCACCCUCUUCCUAUCCUGCCUUUCUUCCAACUCCCAAUUUCCCAGUGCCGCUCCAUCCCUUGAGACAGGGAGACCUCUUCCUGGAGCAGUGGUAUGAAUAAGGGUCAACAAAAAUUUGUGGUGUUUGUCAAAAGCAUCUUCUCUUUCUUAAUAAAUUCAA